GGAUCCAGACUUUGAUUCUGGCUCAGGAUGAACGCUAGCUACAGGCCUAACACAUGCAAGUCGAGGGGAAACGGCAGCUUAGCUUGCUAAGCUGGACGUCGACCGGCGCACGGGUGAGUAACGCGUAUCCAACCUGCCCCACGGUGAGGGAUAACCCGCGGAAACGCGGCCUAAUACCUCAUGGUCUCCGAGCUUGACAUCAACCUUGGAGUAAAGAUUCAUUGCCGUGGGAUGGGGAUGCGUCUGAUUAGCUUGUUGGCGGGGCAACGGCCCACCAAGGCAACGAUCAGUAGGGGUUCUGAGAGGAAAGCCCCCCACAUUGGAACUGAGACACGGUCCAAACUCCUACGGGAGGCAGCAGUGAGGAAUAUUGGUCAAUGGGCGAGAGCCUGAACCAGCCAAGUAGCGUGCAGGAAGACGGCCCUAUGGGUUGUAAACUGCUUUUAUGCGGGGAUAAAGGGGGCGACGUGUCGCCCUUUGCAGGUACCGCAUGAAUAAGGACCGGCUAAUUCCGUGCCAGCAGCCGCGGUAAUACGGAAGGUCCGGGCGUUAUCCGGAUUUAUUGGGUUUAAAGGGAGCGCAGGCCGGGUAUUAAGCGUGUUGUGAAAUGUAGGCGCCCAACGUCUGCACCGCAGCGCGAACUGGUGCCCUUGAGUACGCACGACGUUGGCGGAAUUCGCCGUGUAGCGGUGAAAUGCUUAGAUAUGGCGAAGAACUCCGAUUGCGAAGGCAGCUGACGGGAGCGCUACUGACGCUCAUGCUCGAAAGCGCGGGUAUCGAACAGGAUUAGAUACCCUGGUAGUCCGCGCGGUAAACGAUGGAUGCCCGCUAUUUGCGCAUUAGCGCAAGUGGCCAAGUGAAAACGUUAAGCAUCCCACCUGGGGAGUACGCCGGCACCGGUGCAACUCAAAGGAAUC
rnacentral:rRNA from 1 species